rnacentral:rRNA from 1 species
CAAGGUUGACCUCGGAUCAGGUAGGGAUACCACGCUGAACUUAAGCAUAUCAAUA